GNAUUUAUUGGGCGUAAAGCGAGCGCAGGCGGUUAGAUAAGUCUGAAGUUAAAGGCUGUGGCUUAACCAUAGUACGCUUUGGAAACUGUUUAACUUGAGUGCAGAAGGGGAGAGUGGAAUUCCAUGUGUAGCGGUGAAAUGCGUAGAUAUAUGGAGGAACACCGGUGGCGAAAGCGGCUCUCUGGUCUGUAACUGACGCUGAGGCUCGAAAGCGUGGGGAGCGAACAGGAUUAGAUACCCUGGUAGUNCACGCCGUAAACGAUGAGUGCUAGGUGUUAGGCCCUUUCCGGGGCUUAGUGCCGCAGCUAACGCAUUAAGCACUCCGCCUGGGGAGUACGACCGCAAGGUUGAAACUCAAAGGAAUUGACGGGGGCCCGCACAAGCGGUGGAGCAUGUGGUUUAAUUCGAAGCAACGCGAAGAACCUUACCAGGUCUUGACAUCCCGAUGCCCGCUCUAGAGAUAGAGUUUUACUUCGGUACAUCGGUGACAGGUGGUGCAUGGUUGUCGUCAGCUCGUGUCGUGAGAUGUUGGGUUAANNNCCGCAACGAGCGCAACCCUUAUUGUUAGUUGCCAUCAUUCAGUUGGGCACUCUAGCGAGACUGCCGGUAAUAAACCGGAGGAAGGUGGGGAUGACGUCAAAUCAUCAUGCCCCUUAUGACCUGGGCUACACACGUGCUACAAUGGCUGGUACAACGAGUCGCAAGUCGGUGACGGCAAGCUAAUCUCUUAAAGCCAGUCUCAGUUCGGAUUGUAGGCUGCAACUCGCCUACAUGAAGUCGGAAUCGCUAGUAAUCGCGGAUCAGCACGCCGCGGUGAAUACGUUCCCGGGCCUUGU
rnacentral:rRNA from 1 species